GACGAACGCUGGCGGCGUGCUUAACACAUGCAAGUCGAACGGAAAGGCCCUGCUUUUGUGGGGUGCUCGAGUGGCGAACGGGUGAGUAACACGUGAGUAACCUGCCCUUGACUUUGGGAUAACUUCAGGAAACUGGGGCUAAUACCGGAUAGGAGCUCCUGCUGCAUGGUGGGGGUUGGAAAGUUUCGGCGGUUGGGGAUGGACUCGCGGCUUAUCAGCUUGUUGGUGGGGUAGUGGCUUGCCAAGGCUUUGACGGGUAGCCGGCCUGAGAGGGUGACCGGCCACAUUGGGACUGAGAUACGGCCCAGACUCCUACGGGAGGCAGCAGUGGGGAAUAUUGCACAAUGGGCGGAAGCCUGAUGCAGCAACGCCGCGUGCGGGAUGACGGCCUUCGGGUUGUAAACCGCUUUCGCCUGUGACGAAGCGUGAGUGACGGUGAUGGGUAAAGAAGCACCGGCUAACUACGUG
rnacentral:rRNA from 1 species